rnacentral:rRNA from 1 species
GCCCGGUAGUGGGGGAUAACUUGAGGAAACUCAAGCUAAUACCGCAUACGCCCCAGGGGGAAAGCAGGGGAUCUUCGGACCUUGCGCUAUCGGAUGAGCCUAUGUCGGAUUAGCUAGUUGGUGAGGUAAUGGCUCACCAAGGCCGCGAUCCGUAGCUGGUCUGAGAGGAUGAUCAGCCACAUCGGGACUGAGACACGGCCCGAACUCCUACGGGAGGCAGCAGUGGGGAAUAUUGGACAAUGGGCGAAAGCCUGAUCCAGCCAUGCCGCGUGUGU